UGGGGGAUAUUGGUCAAUGGAGGAAACUCUGAACCAGCGACGCCGCGUGAGGGAAGAAGGUCUUCGGAUUGUAAACCUUUGUUGACAGGGACGAUACAAGACGGUACCUGUCGAGGAAGCCACGGCUAACUACGUGCCAGCAGCCGCGGUAAUACGUAGGUUGCAAGCGUUGUCCGGAUUUACUGGGUGUAAAGGGCGUGUAGGCGGAGGUGCAAGUUGGGAGUGAAAUCCCGGGGCUCAACCCCGGAACUGCUUUCAAAACUGCAUCCCUUGAGUAUCGGAGAGGCAAGCGGAAUUCCUAGUGUAGCGGUGAAAUGCGUAGAUAUUAGGAGGAACACCAGUGGCGAAGGCGGCUUGCUGGACGACAACUGACGCUGAGGCGCGAAAGCGUGGGGAGCAAACAGGAUUAGAUACCCUGGUAGU
rnacentral:rRNA from 1 species